rnacentral:rRNA from 1 species
UACGAAGGUGGCAAGCGUUGUUCGGAUUUACUGGGCGUACAGGGAGCGUAGGCGGUUGGAUAAGCCCUCCGUGAAAUCUCCAGGCUUAACCUGGAAAGUGCAGAGGGGACUGUUCAGCUAGAGGAUGGGAGAGGAGCGCGGAAUUCCCGGUGUAGCGGUGAAAUGCGUAGAUAUCAGGAGGAACACCAGUGGCGAAGGCGGUGCUCUGGGCCGGAACUGACGCUGAGGAGCGAAAGCGUGGGGAGCAAACAGG